rnacentral:rRNA from 1 species
GUACGCUGUCGUAGUGCCUAACACAUGCCGUCGAACGUGAGGGUAUAGCAAUAUGCCUGAAAGUGGCGAACGGGUGAGUAACACGUAGGUAACCUGCCGCGCAGAGGGGGAUAACGACUGGAAACGGUCGCUAACAGCAUGGUACUAGGGAUACGGGAGUAUCUUUGGUUAAAACCUUGGUGCUGCGCGAGGGGCCUGCGUCCGAUUAGUUAGUUGGUGAGGUAAAGGCUCACCAAGGCGAUGAUCGGUAGCUGGUCUGAGAGGAUGUACAGUCACACGGGAACUGAGACACGGUCCCGACUCCUACGGGGGGCAGCAGCGAGGAAUAUUGCGCAAUGGACGAAAGUCUGACGCAGCAACGCCGCGUGGAGGAUGAAGGUCUUUGGAUUGUAAACUCCUUUUCUCAGGGAAGAGGAUGGACGGUACCUGAGGAAUAAGUCACGGCUAACACGUGCCAGCAGCCUGGUAAUACGUAGGUGGCAAGCGUUAUCCGGAAUUACUGGGCGUAAAGCGCAUGCAGGCGGCUCUAAGUCUGACGUGAAAGCUCCUGGCUUAACUGGGAGAGGUCGUUGGAAACUGGAGAGCUUGAGCCAAUGAGAGGGGUGUAGAAUUCCCGGUGUAGUGGUGGAAUGUAGUAGAUAUCGGGAGGAAUACCAGUGGCGAAAGCGGCACCCUGGCAUUGGCAUGACGCUCAUGUGCGAACACGUGGGGAGCAAACGGGAUUAGAUACCCCGGUAGUCCUCGCCGUAAACGAUGAACACUANGUGUAGGUGGUGUGAAAACCAUUUGUGCCGAAGCUAACGCGUUAAGUGUUCCGCCUCGGAGUACGGCCCGCAGGCUAAAACUCAAAGGAAUUGACCGCCAGCCCACGAUCCCAAGCAGCGGAACGUGUGGUUAAAUUCGAUUGCACGCGAAUAAAACCUACCCCAGGUUUGACAUCCACGUAGUAGUGAAGCGAAAGCGGAACGACCCCUUCGGGGAGCGAUACGGUGCUGCCUGCCUGUCGUCAGCUCGUGUCGUGAGAUCCUUGGGUCAUAAUCCCGCAACGAGCGCAACCCCUGUGCUAGUUACACGUGUCUAGCAAGACUGCAUAUUAUAGUGGAGGGAAGAGGGGAUGACGUCAAGUCAGCAUGGCCUUUAUACUGGGGACACACAUCCCCAAUGGAGUACAAUGGGCAGCGAAGGGGCGACCUGGAGCGAAUCUCAUUAAGCCGUUCGUAGUUCGGAUUGUAGGCUGCAACUCGCCUGCAUGAAGCCGGAGUUGCUAGUAACCGCAGGUUAUACAUACUGCGGUGAAUACGUUCCCAGCCUUGUACACACCGCCCGUCACGUCAUGGGAGUUGGUAACACCUGAAGUCGGUGACCUAACCGCAAGGGAGGAGCUGCCUAGGGUGGGCGAUGGGACG